rnacentral:tRNA from 2 species
GCCCCAGUGGUCUAGCGGUCUAGGAUACUUGACUCUCAAUCAAGAGGUCGCCGGUUCGAAUCCGGUCUGGGGUAC